GACGAACGCUGGCGGCGUGCUUAACACAUGCAAGUCGAACGGAAAGGCCCUGCUUUUGUGGGGUGCUCGAGUGGCGAACGGGUGAGUAACACGUGAGUAACCUGCCCUUGACUUUGGGAUAACUUCAGGAAACUGGGGCUAAUACCGGAUAGGAGCUCCUGCUGCAUGGUGGGGGUUGGAAAGUUUCGGCGGUUGGGGAUGGACUCGCGGCUUAUCAGCUUGUUGGUGGGGUAGUGGCUUACCAAGGCUUUGACGGGUAGCCGGCCUGAGAGGGUGACCGGCCACAUUGGAACUGAGACACGGUCCAGACUCCUACGGGAGGCAGCAGUAGGGAAUCUUCCGCAAUGGGCGAAAGCCUGACGGAGCAACGCCGCGUGAGUGAUGAAGGUCUUCGGAUCGUAAAACUCUGUUAUUAGGGAAGAACAAAUGUGUAAGUAACUAUGCACGUCUUGACGGGACCUAAGCAGAAAGCCACGGCUAACUACGUG
rnacentral:rRNA from 1 species